rnacentral:rRNA from 1 species
CAAGUCGAGGGGCAGCAUAGGGUAGCAAUACUUUGAUGGCGACCGGCGCACGGGUGAGUAACGCGUAUGCAACCUACCUAUAACAGGGGGAUAACCCGGAGAAAUUCGGACUAAUACCGCAUAAAACAGGGGCUCCGCAUGGAGAUAUUUGUUAAAGAUUUAUCGGUUAUAGAUGGGCAUGCGUUCCAUUAGCCAGUUGGUGAGGUAACGGCUCACCAAAGCAACGAUGGAUAGGGGAACUGAGAGGUUUGUCCCCCACACUGGAACUGAGACACGGACCAGACUCCUACGGGAGGCAGCAGUGAGGAAUAUUGGUCAAUGGGCGAGAGCCUGAACCAGCCAAAUCGCGUGAAGGAAGACUGCCUUAUGGGUUGUAAACUUCUUUUGUACAGGAAUAAAAAGGGGGACGCGUCCCUUAUUGCAUGUACUGUACGAAUAAGCAUCGGCUAACUCCGUGCCAGCAGCCGCGGAAAUACCGGAAAGAUGCGAGGCGGUUAUUCCGGGAUUUAUUAGGUUUAAAGGGUGCGUAGGUGGCGAAUUAAGUCAGUGUGAAAUAUGUAGCUUAACUAUAAUAAGCCAUAGAAACUGGUUUGCUUGAGUGAAGUAGAGGCAGGCGGAAUUCCCAGUGUAGCGGUGAAAUGCGUAGAUAUUGGGAGGAACAUCAGUGGCGAAGGCGGCUUGCUGGGCUUUUACUGACGCUGAGGCUCGAAAGCGUGGGGAGCAAACAGGAUUAGAUACCCUGGUAGUCCACGCUGUAAACGAUGAUUACUAGGUGUGGGGGGGGCUGACCCCUUUCCGUGCCGCAGUUAACACAAUAAGUAAUCCACCUGGGGAGUACGGCCGCAAGGUUGAAACUCAAAGGAAUUGACGGGGGCCCGCACAAGCGGAGGAACAUGUGGUUUAAUUCGAUGAUACGCGAGGAACCUUACCUGGGCUUAAAUGUAGAUUGCAUAAGUUGGAGACAGCUUUUCCCUUCGGGGCUAUUUACAAGGUGCUGCAUGGUUGUCGUCAGCUCGUGCCGUGAGGUGUCGGGUUAAGUCCCAUAACGAGCGCAACCCUUACCGUCAGUUGCCAUCGGGUAAAGCCGGGGACUCUGUCGGGACUGCCGCCGUAAGGUGAGAGGAAGGCGGGGAUGACGUCAAAUCAGCACGGCCCUUAUGUCCAGGGCUACACACGUGUUACAAUGGCCGGUACAGAGGGCAGCUACCUGGUGACAGGAUGCCAAUCCCGAAAGCCGGUCCCAGUUCGGAUUGGAGUCUGCAACCCGACUCCAUGAAGUUGGAUUCGCUAGUAAUCGCGCAUCAGCCAUGGCGCGGUGAAUACGUUCCCGGGCCUUGUACACACCGCCCGUCAAACCAUGGGAGCUGGGGGUGCCUGAAGUCUGUGACCGCAAGGAGCGGCCUAGGGUAAAACCAGUGACUGGGGUU